rnacentral:piRNA from 1 species
UGUAAUGAUCAAUGUCCUAUGUCCCU